GACGAACGCUGGCGGCGUGCUUAACACAUGCAAGUCGAACGGAAAGGCCCUGCUUUUGUGGGGUGCUCGAGUGGCGAACGGGUGAGUAACACGUGAGUAACCUGCCCUUGACUUUGGGAUAACUUCAGGAAACUGGGGCUAAUACCGGAUAGGAGCUCCUGCUGCAUGGUGGGGGUUGGAAAGUUUCGGCGGUUGGGGAUGGACUCGCGGCUUAUCAGCUUGUUGGUGGGGUAGUGGCUUACCAAGGCUUUGACGGGUAGCCGGCCUGAGAGGGUGACCGGCCACAUUGGGACUGAGAUACGGCCCAGACUCCUACGGGAGGCAGCAGUGGGGAAUAUUGAACAAUGGGCGGAAGCCUGAUGCAGCAACGCCGCGUGCGGGAUGACGGCCUUCGGGUUGUAAACCGCUUUCGCCUGUGACGAAGCGUGAGUGACGGUAAUGGGUAAAGAAGCACCGGCUAAAUACGUG
rnacentral:rRNA from 1 species